rnacentral:rRNA from 1 species
AGAGUUUGAUCCUGGCUCAGGAUUAACGCUGGCGGCGUGCAUAACACAUGCAAGUCGAACGAUGAAACUUUAAUGAACCCUUCGGGGAGAAUUAAAGCGGAUUAGUGGCGAACGGGUGAGUAACGCGUGAGUAACCUGCCUUACACAAGGGGAUAGCCUUUGGAAACGAAGAAUAAUACCCUAUAAAACCAUAAAAGCACAUGCAAUUAUGGUCAAAGUGAUAGCGGUGUAAGAUGGACUUGCGUCUGAUUAGCUAGUUGGUGAGAUAAAAGCCCACCAAGGCAACGAUCAGUAGCCGGCUUGAGAGAGUGUACGGCCACAUUGGGACUGAGACACGGCCCAGACUCCUACGGGAGGCAGCAGUGGGGAAUUUUGCACAAUGGGGGAAACCCUGAUGCAGCGACGCCGCGUGAUUUAGAAGGCCUUCGGGUUGUAAAAAUCUUUUGUAUAGGAAGAAAAUGACAGUACUAUACGAAUAAGGUCCGGCUAAUUACGUGCCAGCAGCCGCGGUAAUACGUAAGGACCGAGCGUUGUCCGGAAUCAUUGGGCGUAAAGGGUACGUAGGCGGCUAGAAAAGUUAGAAGUCAAAGGCUAUAGCUCAACUAUAGUAAGCUUCUAAAACUAUUUAGCUUGAGAGAUGGAAGGGAAAGUGGAAUUCCUAGUGUAGCGGUGGAAUGCGCAGAUAUUAGGAGGAAUACCGGUGGCGAAGGCGACUUUCUGGCCAUUUUCUGACGCUGAGGUACGAAAGCGUGGGUAGCAAACAGGAUUAGAUACCCUGGUAGUCCACGCCGUAAACGAUGAGUGUUAGUGUCUGGAGUCAAAUCUGGGUGCCGCAGCAAACGCAUUAAACACUCCGCCUGGGGAGUACGCACGCAAGUGUGAAACUCAAAGGAAUUGACG